AGACAGUUACAGGCAUCACUGUCAAUCUGUUGCCCCCUCCGUCUAUAAAAGGGGAACCCCAGAUAUGUUAUUCUAUAAGCCCCAUUUUCUAUCUCAAAACUCUGCUAAAAUUUUUGUUCGAGCACUCCAUUCUUGUUGAGGCAGAGAAUUGACUUGAGCAUCGGAGGGUCUUGGCGGAGCAACCCCACCUCCGGUUUAGACUUCUUUUGCAGGUCCCG
rnacentral:lncRNA from 1 species